UUAAUGCACUUUGAAGCCUCCUUUGGCUAGUUUGGGUUUAUUUUUUUGUAGCAAAAGAGCUCUAGUAAAAGUGAUCCCAUUGUACCCGCUCCUCGCUGAGUGAAGGCUAUGACAGCAGCACAUGUGCCAGCACUUGGGUCUUAGGAUCUGACCAGCAGAGCAGAAAAGCUGUGAGCAGCGGAUACAAACCACUGAGCUGGUGCAAACUCCCUCUGCCAGGACAUAGCUGACACUGAUUUGAGUCCACAUCAAAGCUGGGUCAGCUGGCAGAAGGAGGGGAGUAGACAUACAGGUAUUGGGAUCAUUGUGAGGAUGGCACACCUGCUCCAGGGACAGGAUACAGUCAGUACAGCUCAGCAGCUACAAAGCCGAUGGCAUUCUUGUGAAAUUUAGAAAGAACUUGGAAGUCACACCUCUGGAGACAAUAUGGCAAGACAGACUGCCAGCUAAUUUUUCGCUCUGAAGGGCACGUUGCCUUGCUCCAGCACCGCUCCCGGAGCUUUGGAGUGGGAAGACCGGGGGAAUUCACACCGACCGAGCGACGCUGUGCCGGCAAGGGGGCGGCUGAUCGCAGAAGAAAUCUCAGCGGUGUCACCGAAGACUUGUCCUUUUCCUCCAGCUCAAAAGCCCGGGGGAGAAGGAGCCUCCCCCAGCGGACCUCCGGCCAGGCACCCCAACCACGGCAAGAGCUGGGGGGGGCCUCCCCCCGACCCCGGCCUCCCUCCAGCCUCCCCUCAGCCUCCCCUCAGCCUCCCCAAGGGCUGCGGGCGCCCUGCGGG